rnacentral:rRNA from 1 species
AGAGUUUGAUCCUGGCUCAGGACGAACGCUGGCGGCACGCUUAACACAUGCAAGUCGAACGGAGAACAUUGAGCUUGCUUAAUGUUCUUAGUGGCGGACGGGUGAGUAACACGUGAGUAACCUGCCUCUGAGAGUGGGAUAGCUUCUGGAAACGGAUGGUAAUACCGCAUAACAUCAUGGAUUCGCAUGUUUCUAUGAUCAAAGAUUUAUCGCUCAGAGAUGGACUCGCGUCUGAUUAGCUAGUUGGUAAGGUAACGGCUUACCAAGGCGACGAUCAGUAGCCGGACUGAGAGGUUGAUCGGCCACAUUGGGACUGAGACACGGCCCAGACUCCUACGGGAGCA